CAUCAACACUUGUUCAUUUUUAUUAUUGAAUAACAAUUACAAAUGACUGUGUAUUUCAAUAAUUCAAAGGAAAUGAUUUUAUAUCAUGUUGAUUGAUUGGAAAGUUAAGUCACAUUCAUUAUUAUUGGACAACACCAAUAUUAUCAUCAGAAGUGGUCAGGUGUCACA